rnacentral:rRNA from 1 species
UGGGGAAUUUUGGACAAUGGGCGAAAGCCUGAUCCAGCAAUGCCGCGUGUGUGAAGGAGGCCUUCGGGUUGUAAAGCACUUUUGUCCGGAAAGAAAUCCUUGGCUCUAAUACAGUCGGGGGAUGACGGUACCGGAAGAAUAAGCACCGGCUAACUACGUGCCAGCAGCCGCGGUAAUACGUAGGGUGCAAGCGUUAAUCGGAAUUACUGGGCGUAAAGCGUGCGCAGGCGGUUUGCUAAGACCGAUGUGAAAUCCCCGGGCUCAACCUGGGAACUGCAUUGGUGACUGGCAGGCUAGAGUAUGGCAGAGGGGGGUAGAAUUCCACGUGUAGCAGUGAAAUGCGUAGAGAUGUGGAGGAAUACCGAUGGCGAAGGCAGCCCCCUGGGCCAAUACUGACGCUCAUGCACGAAAGCGUGGGGAGCAAACAGGAUUAGAUACCCUGGUAGUCCACGCCCUAAACGAUGUCAACUAGUUGUUGGGGAUUCAUUUCCUUAGUAACGUAGCUAACGCGUGAAGUUGACCGCCUGGGGAGUACGGUCGCAAGAUUAAAACUCAAAGGAAUUGAC